rnacentral:sRNA from 1 species
GGCCUGCUGCGGCGAUAUCAUGUGCACGUGGCCGUCUAUGCCCGCCGCGGUGAGGAUAAGGUGCUCGCCCGAGAUGGCGUCGGUCGCGGCGCCCGUCACCAGAUCGGGGUGCACGCCGUGCAUGAUGUUGGGGUUGCCCGCCUUGCCUAUGCCUGCUAUCUUGCCGUCCUUGAUGCCCACGUCGGCCUUCACCACGCCCAGUUUGGCGUCGAUUAUGGUCACGUUGGUUAUCACCAGAUCGAGCGAACCCUCCUUCGAGGUCAUGGUGUUGGCCAGACCCAUUCCGUCGCG